CUCAUCUCACCAGAACAAUUAAUUUGUCUAUCCUAUACUCUCUCUCUCCACUCCGUUUUCUGUCCUAUAUCAAACAUCCAUUUAUGCCAGCCAAAGAGGAAAUAUCUCCUGCAAAACCACUACUUUCCACCUGAUGAAGUGCAAGAUGUGAAAUUGCACUUGUCGGCAGAAGGUAGGACACUCUAUUGGCCCCUUCUCUUUCCUUAAAAUUGCUUGAAGGGUCUUCAAGACAAUCUGCUUUCCAUGCUAAUUCAACCUCUAAUGCUUCAAACAUGAACUCAAACAGAAGCCCAAUCUGUGAAGUUUAAAGGAAGUUUUUGCAGGCAUGGGAUUAUAGGUUAGAUUAAUGUUGAUGAGCUUCAUAGCAAUUGUUUAUACAAGACAAUAAUGUUAAUGUGCAAUCUGUUUUGGGUUAAUGUACAUAUUUAUUUGUGG
rnacentral:lncRNA from 1 species